AUUAUAUAAAACAAAUAGAUAAGAUUUUACCGUUGUCUGUUCAGUUAUAGAUAUACAUCAUAAUGUGGGAACUCGCCUCGGCGGCUCGUGAGCCUCUUCUAUUUGUUAAUUAUUUUGUAUAGCUUUGAAAUUCAGGCAGGUCUUAAUCCAUCAUCAUAUCUUGAUAAACUUUGUGCGGUCUGAUUAAGGCUAAGGCAACAUUUGUGCCAUGGUGCAUUCUAUAGCAAUUAUGUUAAAAUGAGUCCCGGUCGCAGAUAAGACAUAACUGCAGAUAAACGAAAUUUUACCCAGACAAAAUUGCUUGUGAUAAGAUACAGUCACGCUACAGUUAACGAAUAUGCUGUUUUUCUGUUUAAGGUGUACACCGAUGUUUCGGUAAUCGUUUAAAUCUAUUUAUUAUGCAUAUCAUUCUAAAUUUUUCUAUUGCAAAGUUAUUUUUAAAUACCAUUGCAUGUAAAUGUAAUUUUCUUAAAAUAUUGCAUAACUACAAAUGGCAUCUUCACCCUUACCGUGUUUCUAAAGCUAAUUAAAUUGAAGUGAAUGUCUGAAGACCUAUCUCUAGAGAUCUUUAUAAAAUAUCACUUGAUCUUUAAUCGAAGAUUGAGUGCAAUGUGGUUGGUAACUGGUAGACUGCGAGCGGUCCCUUCUUUCCACGGAUUUAGCUUCCCGGGCGUGCGAGGGGAAGGAGGGUCUGUCGACAACACAUUAAGAAACGAAAUACGCCCACUUUUCGCUCUUGUCAAGUUGGCUCCGCCUUUUGCAUAAACAUUACAUGUACUUGAUUUUUUCUGUGUUGGUGUUGUGUACUCAGGUGAAUAUGAUGUUUGUGAUGUUACUCUGAGUGUACAUCCAAACCGGGCGAGCUUGAAAAAUAUGCCCGGCCACGGUGGGAAUCGAACCGACGACCUAUAUACCCAAUGUAAUUAUAUACCCAAUGUACUUAUAGAUGUACUUAUACCCAAUUUAAUCUAUCCAAUAGGAACCGUUUAAUGUCAUGUUUACUUAUAAAAUCAACAUUCAGUCUGGAAAUUAUGUAUAGCAUAAUUACCACAUAUGAGAUUUGAUUGACAGGCACAUCGAUUUCGACCAAUGGGAAUUUUGCGUUGUGUGGGCAACGCGUGUUUCGUUUCUUAAUGUGUGGUCGGUAGUCCCUCCUUUCUCCUGAGGGACUGCUCGCAGUCUAGGUAACUGGUUAUAGAGCUUGACAACUGGACUCUGUAGCCCGGUUGGUUAGAGCGCUGCACCGGAAUCCCAGGGCCGCAGAUACGAUUCCUACCAGACAGCCUAUUAGAGGGUCUACAUGGGGGUAUGAAAAUCAUUAAACAGUAAAUUUUUUGCUACUUUAAAGGCACAGUUCAGCCUUUUGAACGAUGGUUUUUAAGGCGCAUUUCAGCCCUUUUAAUUGAAAAAACUAAC